UGGGGAAUUUUGGACAAUGGGCGAAAGCCUGAUCCAGCAAUGCCGCGUGUGUGAAGAAGGCCUUCGGGUUGUAAAGCACUUUUGUCCGGAAAGAAAACGCCGUGGUUAAUACCCGUGGCGGAUGACGGUACCGGAAGAAUAAGCACCGGCUAACUACGUGCCAGCAGCCGCGGUAAUACGUAGGGUGCAAGCGUUAAUCGGAAUUACUGGGCGUAAAGCGUGCGCAGGCGGUCCGCUAAGACAGAUGUGAAAUCCCCGGGCUUAACCUGGGAACUGCAUUUGUGACUGGCGGGCUAGAGUAUGGCAGAAGGGGGUAGAAUUCCACGUGUAGCAGUGAAAUGCGUAGAGAUGUGGAGGAAUACCGAUGGCGAAGGCAGCCCCCUGGGCCAAUACUGACGCUCAUGCACGAAAGCGUGGGGAGCAAACAGG
rnacentral:rRNA from 1 species